rnacentral:rRNA from 2 species
UAGAGUGUUUAAAGCAGGCUAACGUCUGAAUACAUUAGCAUGGAAUAAUGAAAUAGGACGGACUGAUUCUAUUUCGUUGGUUUCUAGGAUCACCGUAAUGAUUAAUAGGGAUAGUUGGGGGCAUUAGUAUUCAAUUGUCAGAGGUGAAAUUCUUGGAUUUAUUGAAGACUAACUACUGCGGAAGCAUUUGCCAAGGAUGUUUUCAUUAAUCAAGAACGAAAGUUAGGGGAUCGAAGACGAUCAGAUACCGUCGUAGUCUUAACCAUAAACUAUGCCGACUAGGGAUCGGACGAAGUUAAUUUUAUAAUGACGCGUUCGGCGCCUUACGGGAAAC